rnacentral:rRNA from 1 species
AGGCUUAAUACAUGCAAGUCGAGCGGUCUCUUUCGGGAGACAGCGGCGGACGGGUUAGUAACGCGUGGGAACGUGCCCUUUAGUACGGAAUAGCCAUUGGAAACGAUGAUUAAUACCGUAUAUGCCCUAUGGGGGAAAGAUUUAUCGCUAAAGGAUCGGCCCGCGUUAGAUUAGGUUGUUGGUGGGGUAAUGGCCUACCAAGCCUACGAUCUAUAGCUGGUUUGAGAGGAUGAUCAGCAACACUGGGACUGAGACACGGCCCAGACUUCUACGGAAGGCAGCAGUAGGGAAUCUUGGACAAUGGGCGAAAGCCUGAUCCAGCCAUGCCGCGUGAGUGAUGAAGGCCCUAGGGUUGUAAAACUCUUUCGCCAGGGAAGAUAAUGACGGUACC